GUGGACAUUUGUGUGGAUUUCCUAUCUUUGCUAUUGUGAAUACUACUGCAAUAAACAUGCAAGUGCAAUUAUUCAUUGAUAUAUAGCCAAUCAAGCAAGCAAGCACACAAAAAUAUAUGAGUGCCUAUCAUGGACCAAAAUUUUGCUGGCUAAAGACCGAAGAAAUAGAAGAUAAAGUUUAAAUACAGUUCAUUUGUCUUCUUUAUAGACUCACUUUUUGCAGCAGACAAUGUGCUAUGUCUGAAACAGUAAAUUCCAGGGAACUUAGAAGAAAAUAA
rnacentral:lncRNA from 1 species